AUUGAACGCUGGCGGCAUGCCUUACACAUGCAAGUCGAACGGCAGCACGGGUGCUUGCACCUGGUGGCGAGUGGCGAACGGGUGAGUAAAGUAUCGGAACGUGCCUGGUAGUGGGGGAUAACUAGUCGAAAGACUAGCUAAUACCGCAUACGAUCUAAGGAUGAAAGCAGGGGACCUUCGGGCCUUGUGCUAUCAGAGCGGCCGAUAUCUGAUUAGCUAGUUGGUGGGGUAAAAGCCCACCAAGGCGACGAUCAGUAGCUGGUCUGAGAGGACGACCAGCCACACUGGAACUGGGACACGGUCCAGACUCCUACGGGAGGCAGCAGUGGGGAAUUUUGGACAAUGGGGGCAACCCUGAUCCAGCAAUGCCGCGUGAGUGAAGAAGGCCCUCGGGUUGUAAAGCUCUUUUGUCAGGGAAGAAAGGGCUGUGGCUAAUAUCCACAGCUGCUGACGGUACCUGAAGAAUAAGCACCGGCUAACUACGUGCCAGCAGCCGCCGUAA
rnacentral:rRNA from 1 species